AUCCCAUGAUGAGGACAGGCGUGAAUGUACUCAUUGAGACGUUCACAUUCUUCAGGAAUCGUCUCGGACUAUUGCGGGAAGCUUGAAAUCUUCCCACGCAGGGC
rnacentral:snoRNA from 1 species